GUAUUCUGGUUUCUCUCUAGAUCAUAUAAAUUGUUCACCUUUUCCUAAAGGUUUCUGUGGAGAGGAAUAAUAGAAUUUUAACAUGGCUUCUUACACCAAGCACUGAGCAGGUGCUGA